GGGGAUUUAGCUCAGCGGCAUAAGCGCCUGCCUUGCAAGCAGGCAGUUGUGGCUUCAAACCCCA
rfam:Cavia porcellus supercont2_63 genomic scaffold, whole genome shotgun sequence.